UUUUAGGAAGCAGAAUUUGAAUGCAGACCAACUCAAUUGUUGAAGCCUACAAAUAUAUCACCCAAGCUUUCAUUUAUGAUUGCUCACACUUUGAAAUUGUGAUGUCAGAAUUUGAUAAAGUGUGCAGUGCUAGCUGUAGCAAAUCAUUGCUUAUUAAAUCUACUGUGUUAUCUAAUAGCACCAAACUAAUAGAGCUAUCACAUAACUGAGAAACUUGUGUGGCUUAUUACAAAUGGAUGAAACCACAUUUUACCUUAAUUAAGACAGUAAUCUUUAAUAAGGUGUAGAAAAAAGAGGUGAGUUGUUUGUUGCUGUGGUAAACAAAGAAGUGUACUGAGUCUUUUGGACUACACAGAGUGAUGUAGUAUUGACUCUGAUGCUGAUCUGAGUUGUCUCAUUCUGUAUUUUUGUGCUUUGUCUUUUGUUACACAGAGUGAACGAGAUCUUUGGUUUUGCCUUUGCUGACUGCUGAUCUGAUCGUCUCAAGUCUGGUGACCUGCUGCAGAAAACCCUCUCCCUCUAUCAUUAUAAGCAAUUCUGUCUAUCCUAUCACUCUCCCAACUCUAUCUAAUUUGACAGCCAUUCUAUCUUGUAUCACUCUAUCCCAACUGCUCUAUCUAAUUUGACAGCCAUUCUAUCUUGUAUAAAUCUAUCCCAAGCACUCUAUCUCGUUGUCAGAAAUCUAAGUCUUCAGAAAUCUAAGUCUUCAGAAAUCCCAGUUUUCAGAAAUCCCAGUUUUCAGAAAUCCAAGUUUUGAAAAAUCCAAGUUUUGAAAAAUCCAAGUUUUGAAAAAUCCAAGUUUUGAAAAAUCCAAGUUUUUGGCAAUUGAAGUUACCAGAACUUUGUCAAUCUAUAAUCAGAAUUCUGAGAGAUCUCUACUCUCACUGCUCCUCCUUUCCUGUCAUUAAACUCUCUCUCCAUUCAUUUUGCUGGAAAAUAACAAUUAGAAAGUUGAAUAUACAGUAGUAGAAUUGCAGUACAGUAGAACUUAUAGUAGAAACUACUUAUACAGCCCUACAUUUGUAGUUUUAACUUGACAUUACACUUUGGAAUAAACACUGAUAGUUUGGCUUACUGGUGCAAUUACUUUGAUACAUUAUAUAAAAUAUACACCUUUUUAUAAGGUUUAUUUGUAAUAAGAUAAUCUGACUAUUCUGUAAUAUAUUCAGAGUCCUAUAUUCACAUAAAUAUUAAAUUUGAUUCAAAAACA